UUAUUAUUAUUGUUGUGGUUGUUGUUGAAAAGAAGGUUAUAAAUUCACCCAUAUAUCCAUACUUUAUUACAGGUAUUCCAAAUCAAUUGGUGGGAAUUAAGUUAACGGGGGAAGGAUUUCCCAAGAUAUUAGAUCUCCAGCUGCAUAUCAGAACCCUCUAGGAUUGCUGGGAUUAUAACUUGCCGCCUCUUACAUAGAUGGUGAGGAAGACAACCUAAUCCAGUGGUUGAAUCUCAAGUGGAUAGAACAAGAAGCUGAUGUCAAGAAAAGAAAUGUUGGGGAUGCCUGUGUGGCUCAGUGGGUUAAGCCUCUGCCUUCAGCUCAGGUCAUGAUCCCAGGGUCCUGGGAUCGAGCCCCGUAUUGGGCUCUCUGCUCAGUGGGGAGCCUGCUUUUCCCCUCUCUCUGCCUGCCUCUCUGCCUACUUGUGAUCUCUGUCUGUCAAAUAAAUAAAUAAAAUCUUUAAAAAAAGAAAAAGAAAAGAAAUGUUGUAGCACAAAGUUAAAAUCCUUUGUUCCUUCCUUAGGUUGAAAAAGCCAACCAUAACAGCAUAGGUGGGGUAGCAGUUCAUUGGGCAAUAACUGAGGACUGAAAGUGGAUCAGUGUAAGGAAAC
rnacentral:lncRNA from 1 species